UACGAAGGGUGCAAGCGUUAAUCGGAAUUACUGGGCGUAAAGCGUGCGCAGGCGGUUGUGCAAGACAGAUGUGAAAUCCCCGGGCUUAACCUGGGAAUUGCAUUUGUGACUGCACGGCUAGAGUGUGUCAGAGGGGGGUAGAAUUCCACGUGUAGCAGUGAAAUGCGUAGAUAUGUGGAGGAAUACCGAUGGCGAAGGCAGCCCCCUGGGAUAACACCGACGCUCAUGCACGAAAGCGUGGGGAGCAAACAGG
rnacentral:rRNA from 1 species